CCAUCUGUUAAUAGUAUUCGACACAUUACAGCUGAGGUUGGUGCUGCUGUUCUGCGAGCAGCUGUUGCCGAAGGUUUGGCAGAAGGACAUGGUGAUUUGGGCCCCAGAGAGCUCAGGCACAUGUCAAAAGAGGAGACGGUGGAAUACAUCACGCGCAAUAUGUGGUUCCCAGUUUACAACCCCCUUGUUCAUGAGAAAUAGAGCUUUAGUUCAUGAAAAAUUUAUGGGCUCUGAUCAUCGCCCUCUACUGCUUCAUCUCCAGAAACGUCAAAAAUAGUGAAGAGAUCGUUUUAAGUUUGAACCUAAAUGGAUUAUUUCAGAAGAUUGUCAAUGAACUAUUGAGCAAUCUUGGACCACUGAUUCAGUCUCUUUGUCAGUUCAAAGCUCAAUCACUGCAAUGAAAUGUUAUCAUCUUGGAACCAAUCUAGGCCUUGUUUGGUUAAGAAGUAAAUAGACUAGGAAGUAGAAUUUAGUCUUGUUUAGUUUACAUUAUCCAACCAACUUCCUGAGAAGUAGAGCACUCUACUUCCCUUGUGCAAGUAAAGUAACUUACCUAAAUUGGUAAGUUGCACUUCCUUAGUAAAUAUAAUGAAUUUACUAAUUUGUCCUUUAAUGUAAAGUGUAAUAAAUUAAAG
rnacentral:misc_RNA from 1 species